rnacentral:sRNA from 1 species
UUCACUUUCAAAUAUCUGCAGGAUCAUCAUGAGUACCUUGCAAAGUGGAAGACAGUAUUUUUAUGCAUCGUCCUCCUAUUGCAGGAAGCCAUGCUGAGUCCUGCAUCCAUGGUGCUAGGAACCCUGAAGAAAGAACAGACGCACAGUAAUGAAGCUGG